rnacentral:rRNA from 1 species
AAUAUUUGACAAUGGGGGGAACCCUGAUCCAGCCAUGCCGCGUGUGUGAAGAAGGUCUUCGGAUUGUAAAGCACUUUAUGUUGGGAGGCAGAGUUGUAGGCUAAUACCUUUCAAUUUUGACGUUACCCACAGCAUAAGCACCGGCUUACUCUGUUCCUUCAGCCGCGGUAAUACAGAGGGUGCAAGCGUUAAUCGGAAUUACUGGGCGUAAAGCGCGCGUAGGUGGUUAAGUAAGAUGGGUGAGAAAUCACCGGGCUUAACCUGGGAACUGCUUUCAUAACUGCUGAGCUAGAGUACGGUAGAGGGUAGUGGAAUUUCCUGUGUAGCGGUGAAAUGCGUAGAUAUAGGAAGGAACACCAGUGGCGAAGGCGACUACCUGGACUGAUACUGACACUGAGGUGCGAAAGCGUGGGGAGCAAACA